rnacentral:rRNA from 1 species
CAGUCGCCACGGGAAUACGAAGGGUGCAAGCGUUACUCGGAAUUACUGGGCGUAAAGCGUGCGUAGGUGGUGGUUUAAGUCCGUUGUGAAAGCCCUGGGCUCAACCUGGGAAUUGCAGUGGAUACUGGGUCACUAGAGUGUGGUAGAGGAUAGUGGAAUUUCCGGUGUAGCAGUGAAAUGCGUAGAGAUCGGAAGGAACAUCUGUGGCGAAGGCGACUAUCUGGGCCAACACUGACACUGAGGCGCGAAAGCGUGGGGAGCAAACAGGAUUAGAUACCCCCGUAGUCCCUGUCUCUUAUAC